UACGUAGGGUGCGAGCGUUGUCCGGAAUUACUGGGCGUAAAGCGUGCGCAGGCGGUUUUGUAAGCCAGAUGUGAAAUCCCCGGGCUCAACCUGGGAAUGGCAUUUGGGACUGCAAGGCUUGAGUGCGGCAGAGGAGACUGGAAUUCCUGGUGUAGCAGUGAAAUGCGUAGAUAUCAGGAGGAAUACCGAUGGCGAAGGCAGGUCUCUGGGCUGACACUGACGCUCAUGCACGAAAGCGUGGGGAGCAAACAGG
rnacentral:rRNA from 1 species